AGGGACAGAGAAUGAAAGAGGGAGUCAUUGAGAAAAGGCACAGAUCAUGAGAGGUGGAAAUACUGUCCUUAGAGGGGAACUGAGCGAAGCCAAGGAACCCUCCUGUAACUGAGGAUUCAGAAAAUUCGUUGUCUACUAACUAGAAAGGAGGUGUUUGCCAGACUCAUACUCCACCGGCACCUCGACAUUUAACUUCUCAGAAUGCAGAAUUGUGAGACUAAAUCUCUGCUGUGGUUAAGAUGCCCAGUUUAUGACAGCUCGGGAACAAGGCGAUCUGUCCCUUUGCCAGUGCCAGAGAUGGCAGCUGGCCCUGCUGAUGUCAGAGGCGGUGAGGCCAACUGCGGCAGUUUGUACGGGUGGCCGCAGAGAUGCUGAAGCAGCAAGCCAGCCUGGGGGCACAGCAUUGUCCUCCCAGGGACACCAGAGGGAAGCUACACACACUCUACAUAGCUCUGCACGCCAGAGGCUCACUGUGUAGGUCUGGCCAUCUCAUGUAUGGGCUCGGGGUCCGAAAGGAGCAAGAAGCCGAGGACAGCUCGAGUGCCAUGUUCGUCUCUCUGCUUCCGGACUGCACACGCUCACCCAGCUCCGCACACGCUCACCCAGCUCCGCACAUGCUCACCCGGCUCCGCACACGCUCACCCAGCUCCGCACACACUCAUCUGGCUCUGCUUCCUGACCGCAGAUACUGAAGGGCCCGACGGCUACCUCACGCUCCUGUGGUCACACCCUCCUCACUGUGAACAACUGGCCCCCGGGAGCUAAAAUAAACCCUU